rnacentral:rRNA from 1 species
UACGGGGGGGGCAAGCGUUGUUCGGAAUUACUGGGCGUAAAGGGCUCGUAGGCGGCCAACUAAGUCAGACGUGAAAUCCCUCGGCUUAACCGGGGAACUGCGUCUGAUGCUGGAUGGCUUGAGGUUGGGAGAGGGAUGCGGAAUUCCAGGUGUAGCGGUGAAAUGCGUAGAUAUCUGGAGGAACACCGGUGGCGAAGGCGGCAUCCUGGACCAAUUCUGACGCUGAGGAGCGAAAGCCAGGGGAGCAAACGGG